AUUAUACUCCCUCCGUCCGAAAAUACUUGUCAUCAAAAUGGACAAAAAGGGAUGUAUCUAAAACUAAAAUACAUCUAGAUACAUCCCUUUUAUCCAUUUUGAUGACAAGUAUUUCUGGACGGAGGGAGUAUAUA
rfam:Triticum aestivum genome assembly, contig: Triticum_aestivum_CS42_TGACv1_scaffold_376186_5AL